UCCUACGGGGGGCAGCAGUGAGGAAUAUUGGUCAAUGGGCGAGAGCCUGAACCAGCCAAGUCGCGUGAGGGAAGACGGCCCUACGGGUUGUAAACCUCUUUUGUCAGGGAGCAAGAACGGAUACGUGUAUCCGAGCGAGAGUACCUGAAGAAAAAGCAUCGGCUAACUCCGUGCCAGCAGCCGCGGUAAUACGGAGGAUGCGAGCGUUAUCCGGAUUUAUUGGGUUUAAAGGGUGCGCAGGCGGAUUUUUAAGUCAGCGGUCAAAUCGUGGGGCUCAACCCCAUCCAGCCGUUGAAACUGGGGAU
rnacentral:rRNA from 1 species